rnacentral:tRNA from 1 species
GGAAGGGUGGCUGAGUGGUUAAAGGCAUCUGACUCGAAAUCAGAAGUACGGGCAACCGUACCGUGGGUUCGAAUCCCACCCCUUCCGCCA